ensembl:lncRNA
CGAUAACUGAAACAAUGACUUAUUAAUUUCUUCCCAUAGCGAGCAGCCAGUUUAUUUAUAACUGGCCCAAUCCAACAGAGUCACUCUGCGUAUCCCACGAGACACACUGUCAGAGUAACCAGACCUGUCCCAAGCACCGGGGAAGUGGGGAGAUGGUUACACAAUUCCCAUUGCCGCUGGCUGCUCCAGUUACAGAGAUAAAGGGUCAGAGAAGUGGAGCAGUGGAGACAGAUAACUCUGUGAGCAUCAUGGGGCGAGCAGCCGAGCUCGCAGUGCUGGAGUGCCAAGCUUGAGACAGAUGCUGGAAUGCCGUGGGAGAAAAUUUGCUUCAAUAACAUGGGAAUGGAAUGGCAAUGCCCAAAGUUCCCUCAGGGAACACUUCAAACUGCUUUAGGACUUGGAGGUGCUCUUCACAAACCUCUCCUGUUUUCUGCACGGGUUCACAACAAAACCUGGCGCUGGCAGAGGUGGCCAAGGGAGGAUGAGUUUCAGCCCUCUGAGAAGUACCAACGUGCACUCAGCAACCAGCUGGCCCCGCUAUCUCCUGCUUUGUUAUUUUUCAUUCUGAGGAUCAGCUAAAAUUAGAAAAGACAGAAGCCCCAGGCAGGGAAUAACUUCUCUCUUUAGACUAGAUAUUAGGAAGAAAUUCCUUACUGUGAGGGUGGUGAGACACUGGCACAGGUUGCCAGGAGAGGCUGUGGAUGUGCUUUCCCUGGAAGCAUUCAAAGCCAGGCUGGGUGGGGCUGUGAGCAACCUGGUCUAGAGGGAGGUGUUCCUGCAUAUAGCAGGGGGUUGGAAUGAAAUGAUCUCAAAGGUCCCAUCCAACCCAAACCAUUUUAUGAUUCUGACUCUCAUUCAGAAUCUGCAGCAUGUUGAAAGGAAUUUGGUGCUGGUGAGUCCGUAUGUGGACCUUUCAUUGCGAUCCAUACCUAGACAAUCGGAAUGAGAAUAAAGCACACAGCGUUAUUUGGUUAUAACUAACUUUGCUGCUACCUGUGUAUUCAUGGCAUUAACGCCACGAGUACUUAAAGGCAUUUUAAAGGAGGGUGCUGGGUUGGUUCAGCCUGGAGAAGAGAAGGAUCUGGGGAGACCUCAUUGCGGCCUUCUGGUACUUGAGGGGAGCUUACAAGCAGGAGGGAGGCAUACCUCUUACAAGGUCAGGUAGUGACAGGAUAAGGAAGAGCGGCUUUCAAUGAAAAUCAUGGAACCACUAAGGUCAGAAAAGACCACCAAGCCCCCUGCCCCGUGCUACAAGGAUGGCGGCUGUUCCCCAUGGAGCAGACCCAGGCACAGCCCAUCUCAGCCGGGCCGUCAGUGCGCCAUUAGUGCUGUGUUGGCUGGAGCCGGGGCAUGGGGAGCGCAGUGCUGACUCAAGUGAUGGCACAUCCCCGUGUGCACAUCGAUGCGUUGGCUAAACACGGGGCUCUGAACAGCAAAGAAUACGCAGCUGUGCUUUCCAGCUUCAUAAAGAGCUAUGAGGACAGGUUUCAAGCCUGCCAAAAGAAUCAUCAGUUUAUGUUCAUUACACCAUUUUCAGUUGAUAAAAAUACGUGGCCUGCAAACGAAUGGAAUGUAUAGAGUUGCAAUCAAAUAUUGAACUCAAAGAUCUGGUUGUGUCUCUUAGCCAGAGUUUCAUAAUCCCUCUUACCAGAGAGAAAUAUCCCUCGCUUCACAAUCACACCUUAUUCAUGCCAUGGCUUUUUGGCACAUGUGUGAAUGCUUAUCAAGGAUGGAUGAAGUACACGAAGAGUAAAAUUUCAUCCAAAAUCUCUGCCGAACACUUUGAGAGCUCACUGAGAACUGCAGCCACUGCCAUGGAAGCAGGCUGGUGCGCUGCUUCGCAAAAGCAGGGUCACAUAUCCCACUAGCUUUAUGCUUUUGUUCCUCUCUUCUUUAAAACAUGUUUUAAAAUGUUUCGUUUCUUAUAGAUCAACAGUAUUGUGUAUUUUAGGAGGGCUGCUCUGAAAGCGGUGCCUCCUAUUUUAUAGUGCUGGCCCACAGUGUCAGAGGUGGAUGCUGGUGAUACGGCAGCAGUGGCUGAGCCUUCCCACCAAUAUCCCAUCACGUGUUGUUGCCGUGCGGCAGACGGCAGCAGAGGGGCAGUCUGACAACAUGGCAUCUGACAUGGAAGUGCAUAUGAAGCAAAGCUGUUGUAUUUUCUGUGGAAAUCAAUAGGAGGCAUGAAGUCUGAAGCAACUUACGUAUAUGCGGCCAAAGGCAAUUCCUCCUCACUCACCGUGGCCCGGGCAAGCCAGAAGGUUCUAGCCCAACCAUCGGCCCACCCCAACCAUGCCCACUGACCACGUCCCUCUGCGCCACAGCCACACGCUGCAGGGAUGGGACUCCCCCCCCUCCCCAGCAGGCUGUGCCACUCCAUGAGAUGGACAGCGGGGCACAGCUGGGCACCCACCUCGGGACACGUGUACAGAAGCAUCGAUGGGACGCAGCCCUCCAGGAGGGGAAAGACGAAGCAGAAAGGCUGAUGGGUCAGCGCGUGCUUUGCCUAUAAGGGGAGCAAAAAUAACAACAGCGCGUUCCGAGCUGCGGUGAAUCGCUCAGGAAAAAAUCUGCAGACGUUCUCCGAAUUGUUUGUUAAAGAAAGAAAUUAAAAAAAAAAAAAAAAAAAAAGCAAAGAAAGGCAAAUGCAGCCCCUGGGACAUCCCUUUAUGGCAUAUGCAUUUUAUGUUUAAACGCAUUAAUGGCUCUGCUAUGCCGUGAGUCAGCCGGCAGCACGGUUUCAUGCGUUGCUUAAAAUACACGGCGAGCGCUGACGGCGGCGCCGGGCACUGCCCGCGGGAGCGGCGCUGCGCC